GGAGCUUGCUCCACCGGAAAAAGAAGAGUGGCGAACGGGUGAGUAACACGUGGGUAACCUGCCCAUCAGAAGGGGAUAACACUUGGAAACAGGUGCUAAUACCGUAUAACAAUCGAAACCGCAUGGUUUUGAUUUGAAAGGCGCUUUCGGGUGUCGCUGAUGGAUGGACCCGCGGUGCAUUAGCUAGUUGGUGAGGUAACGGCUCACCAAGGCCACGAUGCAUAGCCGACCUGAGAGGGUGAUCGGCCACAUUGGGACUGAGACACGGCCCAAACUCCUACGGGAGGCAGCAGUAGGGAAUCUUCGGCAAUGGACGAAAGUCUGACCGAGCAACGCCGCGUGAGUGAAGAAGGUUUUCGGAUCGUAAAACUCUGUUGUUAGAGAAGAACAAGGAUGAGAGUAACUGUUCAUCCCUUGACGGUAUCUAACCAGAAAGCCACGGCUAACUACGUGCCAGCAGCCGCGGUAAUACGUAGGUGGCAAGCGUUGUCCGGAUUUAUUGGGCGUAAAGCGAGCGCAGGCGGUUUCUUAAGUCUGAUGUGAAAGCCCCCGGCUCAACCGGGGAGGGUCAUUGGAAACUGGGAGACUUGAGUGCAGAAGAGGAGAGUGGAAUUCCAUGUGUAGCGGUGAAAUGCGUAGAUAUAUGGAGGAACACCAGUGGCGAAGGCGGCUCUCUGGUCUGUAACUGACGCUGAGGCUCGAAAGCGUGGGGAGCAAACAGGAUUAGAUACCCUGGUAGUCCACGCCGUAAACGAUGAGUGCUAAGUGUUGGAGGGUUUCCGCCCUUCAGUGCUGCAGCUAACGCAUUAAGCACUCCGCCUGGGGAGUACGACCGCAAGGUUGAAACUCAAAGGAAUUGACGGGGGCCCGCACAAGCGGUGGAGCAUGUGGUUUAAUUCGAAGCAACGCGAAGAACCUUACCAGGUCUUGACAUCCUUUGACCACUCUAGAGAUAGAGCUUCCCCUUCGGGGGCAAAGUGACAGGUGGUGCAUGGUUGUCGUCAGCUCGUGUCGUGAGAUGUUGGGUUAAGUCCCGCAACGAGCGCAACCCUUAUUGUUAGUUGCCAUCAUUCAGUUGGGCACUCUAGCAAGACUGCCGGUGACAAACCGGAGGAAGGUGGGGAUGACGUCAAAUCAUCAUGCCCCUUAUGACCUGGGCUACACACGUGCUACAAUGGGAAGUACAACGAGUCGCGAAGUCGCGAGGCUAAGCUAAUCUCUUAAAGCUUCUCUCAGUUCGGAUUGUAGGCUGCAACUCGCCUACAUGAAGCCGGAAUCGCUAGUAAUCGCGGAUCAGCACGCCGCGGUGAAUACGUUCCCGGGCCUUGUACACACCGCCCGUCACACCACGAGAGUUUGUAACACCCGAAGUCGGUG
rnacentral:rRNA from 1 species